GUACAAGCCCAUAUGGGUCUUUGGUUUCUCACCAAGGUGUCCAGAGGAUCCUAAAAGGGUGGUGUUGGGGGAGAUGGAAGCUGGCCAGAGGAGACAGGAGACCCAUGUUUGCCAGGCUGUGAGAAUGAGCAAGUAAACCAGAAGAGGUGAUGGUUUUCUCUUGGAGAAAGGAAAGCUGGAUUGUUUGAUUGUGUGACCAGGUAGGGAACAGCACCCAGAGCCUGUAACCCCCACCUGGGCCCCCGCACCGCAGACACUCCCCCUCUCAGCACUGACUCCAUGGAACUCCAGAGACCUGUUUAAAACUCGGCUCCCUCUGGCUGUAAGCUCCGUGGGCCACAGCCAAGGAAUCCCGGCCUCCGCCGUGUGCAGCGUCAGCACAGCACCUGCGCCAGAGGCCCUCAGUGAUGUCUGCUGAAAGACGGGAAGGAGCAUGUCACCGCAGCCUUACUGAAAGAUCUGUCCUCAGACCCCUGGAGCCAGCCCUGAGGGCUGCAACUAGAAAGCCACAGAAGACCCCCUCCCCCAGCUACCAGUGGAGCAGAACCAGGACCCCAAGUCAUCUGGACUCACACAAAGGCAGCUUCUGCCUCUUGCUUUUUUGUGCCUUUUCCCACCAAGAUUGGCCCUGGAGGAGCAAACCCGAGUUCCUCUGCUGGUUUGAACAGGAAAUUCCUGUCAGCUCGUUGGAGAGGCCAACCGGAGGAGAUUUCAUCACAUAGAUUCCCCCCGAGAUACAGAAUCGUAUCAAAGUCCUAUCCCAGCCUGGGGUGGGGUGUUGGGGGAGCAGCCGUCCUCUGACAUCCGGUUCUGUGCCUCACUGAAGCAGCACUGCCAGCCUCUCUUACCUAAAGCUGGGGUGGGGUUUUCCAACUCAGCCUGGUAAUGGGGAGGAGUGGAGUGAUUAGCAGUAAUUCGGUGCAUCGCUUUAGCUGACUGGGUGGCACGGGUGGUUUUUCGGUCUGUUCUGGUGGCAAAUCUACACUGAAGAGGCAGAGAAAUGCCAGCCCGGAUGGCACAGACAGCGUGGGUUGAGAAAGCCUGCGGGGUGCAGGUCCUUGCUUCUCAAAGUCGUCCUGGGGCAUGCGCAUGGCCAUCACCAUGGGUAUGCAAUCUCAGGGCAAUCUCAGCCCUUACCCUUAAUCGGGGAAUACGUUUUAACAAGACAACCCGGUAUUUGGAGGCACGUUGGAGUUUGCAACGCACCUGAUCUCAGGAGAGAAUGUACGGGCGCUUCCAUCUCUGACCUCACGGAUUUUAAUAUCAGUUCUGUCACUCAGUAACAGUGUGACAUUAGGCACAGAAACACACUCGCUGAGCCUUGGUUCCCUCAUCUGUAAAGCAGAGGUGAUGUUAUCUGUCAUAAAGGGUUGACAGGAGGCGGGGGCCCAGCACCAGUAGGCUCCAACCUAGUAAAUGUUAGCAGCACAGAGCUGAUCGCUCAGGGAACAUUAACAUCAUCUACUCCCACAGAGCUGAGGCUUCAGCAGGCCCUCUUGCUGUUUCACUUGUAUUUUCUGAAAGGACCCAUAGACCCCUGACCAAUAGUUGUCCCUUUCAUCUCUUGUUCUCUCCUGGCCCCCCAUGUGAAAGGAAGGUGGUGAGUUGUCCUUGUGGCAGGAUGAAGGUGGGGGAAGGAGCUGAAGGAACAGACAGGCAGAGCCAGGUCGAGAGGAAGGACUUCUAGGAAGAGGAGACGCACACAGCAUCUUUGGGAAUGGAGCCUCAUCAUUCAUUUGGGGAAUAUAAAAAUUAGUGAAAGGGAAUAAAGGGAAAGGAGAGAAAAUCAGUGAGGGUGACAGAACAUGAGAGACUCCUAACUCUGGGAAAUGAACUAGGGG
rnacentral:lncRNA from 1 species